rnacentral:rRNA from 1 species
UACCAGCACCCCGAGUGGUCGGGACGUUUUAUUGGGCCUAAAGCAUCCGUAGCCGGUUCUACAAGUCUUCCGUUAAAUCCACCUGCUUAACAGAUGGGCUGCGGAAGAUACUAUAGAGCUAGGAGGCGGGAGAGGCAAGCGGUACUCGAUGGGUAGGGGUAAAAUCCGUUGAUCCAUUGAAGACCACCAGUGGCGAAGGCGGCUUGCCAGAACGCGCUCGGACGGUGAGGGAUGAAAGCUGGGGAGCAACCGG